rnacentral:rRNA from 1 species
GCGACCUCAGCUCAGGCGGGGCCACCCGCUGAGUUUAAGCAUAUCAAUAAGCGGAGGAAAAGAAACUAACAA